rnacentral:lncRNA from 1 species
UCAUCCACUUGGGGCACAAAAGAAAGGGUUACAUCCACUAAUUGAUGCAUCUAGUGCAUUUAUACUUUGCUUGACACACCAAGCAAUUACAAUCAAAAAUUAAAACUAACCCCUAACAAACUCUCUAACUAACUCUAGAGACACUUCUAACUAACCACAAUAGUUUGUUAGCUUAACUAACUAACAAACUAACCAAUUACAUGCCACUUAAGCUAUUGGUUUUAACAAACUUAUGGUUACUUACUCAACAAGUCACAACUUAGAGAUAUGAAUUAUACAAUGAAUUUCACAAAAUUCAACAA